CAGCAGCCGCGGGAAUACGGAGGGUGCAAGCGUUAAUCGGAAUUACUGGGCGUAAAGCGCACGCAGGCGGUCUGUCAAGUCAGAUGUGAAAUCCCCGGGCUUAACCUGGGAACUGCAUUUGAAACUGGCAGGCUAGAGUCUUGUAGAGGGGGGUAGAAUUCCAGGUGUAGCGGUGAAAUGCGUAGAGAUCUGGAGGAAUACCGGUGGCGAAGGCGGCCCCCUGGGCCUGUACUGACGCUCAUGCACGAAAGCGUGGGGAGCAAACAGGAUUAGAUACCCCGGUAGUCCCUGUCUCUUAUAC
rnacentral:rRNA from 1 species